rnacentral:other from 1 species
AAUUCCCUGCCUUGUGCGUGAAGGGCGCAUAGGUUUGAGCCAACACCAUUUUAAGGGGAACCUAACUUCAUGAUGCCUGAGGGCAGAAUGAGAGGGUGCCCACUUAGUAGAUUGGGUUCAAAACUAUCACUUUCUCACGGCUAUGGCGGGGAUUUU